rnacentral:rRNA from 1 species
AUUGAACGCUGGCGGCAUGCUUUACACAUGCAAGUCGUACGGCAGCAUGACCAAGCUUGCUUGGUUGAUGGCGAGUGGCGAACGGGUGAGUAAUACAUCGGAACGUGCCCUGUAGUGGGGGAUAACCUACCGAAAGGUAGGCUAAUACCGCAUACGACCUGAGGGUAAAAGUGGGGGACCGCAAGGCCUCACGCUAUAGGAGCGGCCGAUGGAAGAUUAGCUAGUUGGUGAGGUAAGGGCUCACCAAGGCGACGAUCUUUAGCGGGUCUGAGAGGACGAUCCGCCACACUGGGACUGAGACACGGCCCAGACUCCUACGGGAGGCAGCAGUGGGGAAUUUUGGACAAUGGGCGAAAGCCUGAUCCAGCAAUGCCGCGUGUGUGAAGAAGGCCUUCGGGUUGUAAAGCACUUUUGUCCGGAAAGAAAUGGCUCUGGUUAAUACCUGGGGUCGAUGACGGUACCGGAAGAAUAAGGACCGGCUAACUACGUGCCAGCCGCCGCAGUAA